rnacentral:rRNA from 1 species
GCUCAGAAACUCAAAGGAAGUGACGGGGCCCGGCACAAGCGGUGGAGUAUGUGGUUUAAUUCGAUGCAACGCGAAGAACCUUACCUGGUCUUGACAUCCCGGAGACCCUUAGGAAACUAGGGGGUGCUUCCAUCUGGAAGAAUCUGGAGACAGGUGCUGCAUGGCUGUCGUCAGCUCGUGUCGUGAGAUGUUGGGUUAAGUCCCGCAACGAGCGCAUCCCUUGCCUUUAGUUGCCAGCAGUUCGGCUGGGCACUCUAAAGGGACUGCCGGUGUUAAACCGGAGGAAGGUGGGGAUGACGUCAAGUCCUCAUGGCCUUUAUGACCAGGGCUACACACGUACUACAAUGGCCGAUACAAAGGGCAGCGACACUGCGAGGUGAAGCCAAUCCCGUAAAAUCGGUCUCAGUCCGGAUUGGAGUCUGCAACUCGACUCCAUGAAGUUGGAAUCGCUAGUAAUCGUGGAUCAGCAUGCCACGGUGAAUACGUUCCCGGGCCUU